GAGGACAGCAGAGAUUACCACAGGGUGAAGCAAGCCAUCCUAGCGUGAUAUGCCAUUACCCCAGAGGCAUAUCGCCGCAGCCGGGCUAACAACUACACCCCCAGGUACCAACCGCGUCCCGGCCUCCGGAACAGGAGUCCCAUGCCUGGGCUAACCAAGGUCCACCAAUAGAGCUCCGGUCCACUGGUACCAGAACGAGACCA